AGAAAAGCUGUCAUUUCAUGAAGAUGAAGAGAUGCAGAUGCUUUGCCUGGUAUUCAAGUUCAAAGGAGAAGAAAAGAUACCAGAAGCAUUGUCAAUAUUAAACAAACUCUUAUAUGGGUACGAGUCAACUCCUUUUUUAUUAUCCAUCACUUCCGAUCCAGUGGUGAGGUAAGGAGGAGGAGAGGUGAUAGGUGUAAAGGGGAUUCUGCAUUUAUGGUUGUAGAACUGGAAAUCACUACGGAAUUGGUUAGCUUUGGUAGACUGUCUUUUACUUUUCAAGCUGUCGCUGUUAAGACAUAAAUGCCCACCUUACACCUGUUAAGGCAAGCAGCUAAUUUUACAUUUUGAUGUGAAAGGUAUUGAUAAGUUACUUAAAAGGUGAAUUCCAA